UUCCUGGUGGUCCAGUGGCUCAGACUCUGAACUCCUAAUUCAGGGGGCCCAGGUUCAAUCCCUGGUCAGGGAA
rnacentral:tRNA from 1 species